rnacentral:rRNA from 1 species
UACAGAGGAGCCAAGCGUUGUCCGGAUUGACUGGGCGUAAAGCGCACGCAGGCGGUUGCGCGCGUGGGGUGUGAAAUCUGGCCGCUUAACGGCCAGGCGCCAUCCCAUACGGCGCGACUGGAGUGAUGCAGAGGUCGAUGGAAUUGCCGGUGUAGUGGUGAAAUGCGUAGAUAUCUGGAGGAACACCGGUGGCGAAGGCGGCAUCCUGGACCGGUAUUGACGCUGAGGCGCGAAAGCUAGGGGAGCAAACGGG